CUCCUGGUUUAUACCACGUUGAAUACACCAGUUCUCGUCCGAUCACCGAAGUUAAGCAACGUCGGGCGCGGUCACUACUUGGAUGAGUGACCGCCUGGGAACACCGAGAUACCUUGGCU
rnacentral:rRNA from 1 species